UUUAAUUUAUUAUUGAGUUUUGUUUGUUUAUUUUGAAUCUUCUAGGAAAUUCUUAUAAUUCUGUAGAAAUGUAAAAUGAAAAUGCCAAAAAGGAGAGCUGCUGGGAGUCACAGCUACUGCUGUUCAUUCUUGAGAUUUCUCGAACCAGCACCCGGUAUUCCUGUCGUAGCAGAGAAGUUCUGGCCCAGCCCCUGCAAUCCCAACCGUGCUGUGCUUCUGAACGCUAUAGCUUUCUUGGUCCAAGAAGCAUUAAAGUGCUUGAUACAUCACAAGCUUUCCAUUUGACUGUCCACAUGCCACGCACGAUGCUCAGAUUGAGUUCCCGGCAUGGUAAAAGGAUGAAGAGGAAGAAACUGGAUUUGAGAAAUCUGAGAAUAAUUACAUACACCAGUUACUGAAAGUUACUGAAACUCAUUCUAAACAAGGAAGUUUUCAAUAAUUUUUAAACUUUUGGUAAUUUUAUUGACUAAUGAGCUUAUUUGUGUUUGUAUGUUGCUUGUAACCACAAUCAUAGUGCUAUUGGAGAUGUACCACUGCAGCAUGCUGUAAAGUUUGCUUUCCUGUGUAUUUUCUUAACUGGCUUGGAGACAGCUCAUGAAGAGCGAGAUCUGCCAGGAAUGGCACAGGUAUGUUUGCUCCUGCUUCAGACAGGAGGACAGAUCUGAAAGCCUCCAGAGGUCCCUUGCAGCCCCUGUAGUCAGUGAUUUGCAAACAAAAAAUGACUAAGGAAAUAGCUGUCUCAGGUCCCUUGGACCCCUGUUACAGCCACACAUACCUGCUUUAGGUGGCAUGUCACUGAACUUGGUGGCACUAGCUUUGCUCACCACAGAUGGCUUAUUCUUUAUAAUCCCUUGUCAGGAAUGACUUGCAUUUCAAAGUAAAUAAUGAUCCAAAUUUUGCUAGCGUUUUGAUGUACCAAAUUAGGGAUCACACAAACAGAAAUGCUUAAAUAACUUAAUAAUUCUUCAUCACUUUUAAAUGUAAUACAAUACAUACAUACAUAUAUACAUAAAACAAGACCAAUAUCAAAUAGUAAUAUGAUUCUAUAAUUUUCCAAGUAUUUUCUAGCAAGCACUCCUAAAAAGAUCAACACUUACUGCUCACUGAUGUCUGAGAUAUCAGAAAUAUUAUAGAGUGAAAACCAGAAAUUUUCUUCAGAACUUACUACUUUGUCUUGCCAGAACAGUACAGGCUGUGAAUCUAGCCUGUAAUUAUCAAGGAAGAAAAUAUUUUUCCUUUGAUCUCCUCUUAUAGAAUUUGUGGAAUUUAUUAUACAGCAAUAGGUAUGGAAAAAUAAAAAUAUUAACACCUGAAUUAAAAACCCACUUAUAAAGUGGUCAUACAAGAUUUAUGCUUAAUUCUGACAGUAAAGCAAGAUCCUCUAGAUUUGUCAUGUUGGCAUAGUUAUGUGUGGAAAAUUCUUAAUUGUAACCCUCAGAUUAGAGUUCUGCAUAACACUCCUUUGGAUCAGACUUCAUACCUUAUGCUCCUUAGAUUGUUGAAUGCUGUCAUUUCCUUAUUUAUUUCUUGUUAUGGCUCCAUUUUAAUAACUAUGUAGGAAUAAGGACACUUGGAUAUCUACGUCUUCACAGCUAACCUCUCUUUCUAUAUACAAAAAUGGAUCAUUACAAUGACAAAUUUGGAUAAAGUUACUCUCUUAGGGAGAUCUGCUUCUAGGUACCCCUUCUCCACAGAUACUCUCACAUUUGUUUUUUGAGAUCUCUUCUUUAGAUGAAUCCGCACAGUCUUGUUCAUUAAAAAAUUCCCAAUAAAUUUAGCAGGACUAGGCAUUUUACUGGGUAUUUUACUGGGUAAUAAUCCAUCUCAAGAUUUGGAAAGGUUGUUACAACUACCAAGACUAUUGACUAAUUAGUACAGCAACUAGACAAAUUCAUGGAAGCAAAGGGCCUCACAGGUUAUUAAGCACAAAGAAAUCACCUUCAUAAUUUUGUCCCUGUCGUGAAUAAUUAUUCUUUCAUCAUACAUCUGAAAUUGCCAGGGUCAGAGAGGAGUAUUGGGUUCCUCUGGUCUAACUCACUAAGCCUGAUCUUACUGCAUUUGUUUCUCAUUUAUCUUGUAUGUAACAGCUGAUUUGCUUAACUCUGCAAGUAGGGAUAACUCCUCUCAUCUAAAAGUAUUUAACCUACAUGGUUACUCAUUGGUUCUCAAUCAUUUAAAAGUAAUCUUAAUCUAAUAUUUUAAACUUAACUUAAACUCUGAAACUAAAGCUGUCCAGAUAAGGCUCGUAAGUCAUCAAUUCUCCUUUCAUCUUAAUGUUUUGUAAAACAUUACUAGUUAGAGACUAAAUAAAAAUGUCACAAAUAACAUUGCUAUGUAUCAGGCAUAUACUAUAAUAACUAUCUAUCUCAACACCUAUUUCAGUUUGGAGAUUCAUAAAGCCUAGAUGAGACUGUGAAGGUAUUCAAGUGCUAGUAGGGUGAAAUGGGCUCUAUUAAUAAAUAUUUUCAAGGGUUUAAUCAUACCACAGAGGAGUGUUACUAUACUGAAGACUGCAGCUCUGCCACCCCAGGAAAUGCUAGGAGCAGGCUGAACAAGAGUAUUUGACAGGCUCUGACAGUUUGAAAUCUGUCCUGUUUAUCUAUGUGAUCGGUCCCAAUCAUUGAUACAAACAACAGCAUGACUCUGGAUUAAGUUCAGUGUGGAAGUCCUGACAUUUUCUAGUCUUUCUAGUUUCUGGCAGGAAGUAUAUUUUGAACACUCUGACAAAUCUAGUCUCUAAAGGUGACUUUUUUUCUCUAGAUGCAUAUUCUGCACAAGAAUGGCUAUAGCUGCUCAGGCCUGAGGUCUUCCCAGCCCAGUGUCCCAUCUCCAACACAGGGCAAUAACAGGUGGUGACAGAGGGAGCUAAAGACCAGGUCAAAGAGAGAUGGAGCCAUUUAAUUAUGGUGGUGGUGAGGUGGCUUAACAAAAGUUGCAUUUGGCACAUGUUCUCCUUACCCAGCACACCACCAUGCACAUAGCACACUGCAGUGAUUUGAGUCUUCUUAAUAUUUACUCUGCUACACUGCUUGUUUUCAUCUACCUGUGAUUUAGCCCUACUCCCCUUUUGACUACAGAUUUGGUAAGUAAAACCUUCUCUCUGAUACAAGCCCUAGAUUAGUGAGUAGUGUUAGGCUUUAUUUUAGAGGAGCACUGACACAAUCAUUACUAAAUUGUGUUCUCUAAUUCUAUCUAUUAUUAUCCUUCUUUAAUUCAAAUUCCAGGAAGGGGCUAAAGCAGUUUUCUUGAACAGUGCUGCCUAUAUUAAAAUCUGAAAGAUUUCUUUGUAAUCCAUGCACAUGACUAUUUAUGAUAUUCUAUUUAUAUCUACCACCUUCAAUAUAUUAAAACCUUAAAUUACUGUAGGUAGAUACUACUAAUGUAUUACUGCAGCCUGAAAUGAUAUUGCAUCACAAAAUACUUGUUCAGCUACUAAAUUCAAAGAAAUUUCAUUUGUUUUAGAAGAAAAGAUUACCACUUGGGCACUGUCCCAAAUCUUGAAUUAGAAGUUUAGUAACUCCUUGAAGUUUUCUUUAUGUGAUAUAUAUUUUCAAAUUGUCCUAACAAAACUUAAAGCCUAAUGUAGGAUUUUCUCUUGCGUGUUCACAAAUCUGUGGACACAUGCCCACACAGUCCUUGUAUGCAAGUUUCUUAAGAGGAAUUAUUUUCCUGCAUAAGCUUAGAGAUAGGAUGCCAAGUUAUGCAGUUAUGUACCUUUUGUACUACACUGCUCUUACGUGAUUACACAAAUCCCACUACAGAAUACACGUGGCCUCCUUGAAACACAGCCCUGGAAAUCCUCUCCAGCUUGCUACCUAGCAGAGUGCUGCUCAGCUGAGAGGUCAUCCCACUGCCCUUGAGCAGGCAGAAAAGAAGCUUCCCUCUCUAGGUUGGGGAAGACUCUGGGACACUGCCUGCUUGGUGCUGCCUCUCAUUUAAAGGUCUCAUACCUUUCUGAGGGAGCAAUUCACAACAAAGACCCAAGUCAACACCACUGCUGUUCAUCAUCUAAUACAUUAUUUGAGAAAUUAAUAUCACAUGAAAUUUACACACUUGUUUCAUUGUCCCUCACUGUACUUAGAAAUUUUGUCAAGAGUCCAGAAGCUCCUUUUCAUCACUGAAAGAAAGCCACUGUCCCUAAGAAUGAGGCACAGUCCAGCAUGCAAAUACAUCUGCAGAAAUAAAGCAAUACUUGCCAAGUUAGAAAGAAAAAAAAGAAAUUGUAGGUAAGUUCUGCUUUGUUUUAAUAUUAUUUCUUCAACGCUAUGAAAAGCAGUGAUACUCCUAUGUAAAGCCUUCACUUUUACAACAGCAUCCAACAGAAUCUAGGCAACUCUUCAGUGUUGCUAGAAAUACAACCUUGAGUGAUACCCUUGGAACAUACUCAGUUCUCACAAGAGAACUGAGCACUACCAACAAGUUCAAAUAUAGUCUAUGACAGUGUGACUUGAGUGUCACGCAUCCAUUUAUACCAUCCUAUGCAGUUUAGAGUAUUUUACAUAAUUUAUGUAUAUAUGUGUACAGACAACUAUAGAUACAUAAAAUUACAAUUUUAAUAUUUUUAAUAUUAAAAAUAAUGGACACGUGGUCAAAAACUUUAAGUAGAUACCCAAUCCAUUUGAAACCAAUAACUCCAGGUGUUGCUACCAGGAAGAUGACUGAGUUUCAGGUAACUUUGCUUAUUUCUAAAUAACAAGAAGAAGCCACAAAAACAACAAAUUAUAUAGCUUGCUCUUUUACUAAAAUACCCCCACCCAACAUCUCUUGAUUAUAGUACUGUUGCCAAAUGCACAUCCUACCUUUUGGGCACGUGAAUGAAAAUUUUGUGGAAAAUUAAACAAAAGUUCGCAGUGCUUCCAUUUGCAUAUUUGGUACAUUUAGAGGAAAUCCUUAGCCAAGUCCACAGGUUACAUAAGCAGACAACCCACAUAAAGGACAUGAAGAGCAGGUUUUUUUCAUACAGAUUGUCAGAUUAUUACAGUUUUUCAAUUUUAUCUGUGUGACAGAGUAACAGCAACAAAGGCUUGAGGAUCUACUUGGCUAAAAAACAUCUUGUACUGGCUCGUUCUGCCUUGCAAAAAAAGUUAAAGCCUACAUAAGACUUGGUGAUACAGCAGAAGUACUGGAAAUGGCAGGUUGCUUUCCAACUUAGUAAACUGCUGGUAUCUCUAACCUCUGGACCUCCUGAAAUAAGACAUAUUUCAAGUCAAGGUUUACACCAAAACUGGGUACUUUUAAUGAUUUUUCUCCCCUAAACUCUGAGAUACUUUAAAACUACUGAACACCGUUUUUUGCCCCCCUCAAGCUUGGUUUUUGACUCUUAAAUACUACAGUGAUGUGCCUCACACAAAACCAUAAAUAGGUACAAAAUUAGGUAACCAGAACUAGCACUUAGCACAAAAAAAGUCCUGGAGUUAUUUGUCUCCACAUCUCCGCAACACCUCCUUUGCAAUUUCAUACACUUGAACAUCUGUGGUUUUCUUUAGCUAAGGAAUAAAUUCCACUCAGAUUAUAUAAAAUUGUCUUUCUAAAAAGAUCUUCAUGUAACAUAUCCAAGUAGGGACACCAUAUGUUAUUUUGGGACCGGUCAGAAUGGACCAUCAUUAACUAAGCAUUAUUCUGGCCUUUGAAUAUCUUUCUACUUUAAUAUUUCCUCAAUUAGAUUUUCCUUAAGGAAAACAGUAUUUCCAGUAAAAAUAAUAUAACAGGCCUUGAACAUGCUAAGAAUGCCAAAUUAUGCCUUUCUCUCAUCACAUAUAGUAAUAACUUUGUAAAUAAAGCAAUCAUAAUUCUUCAUCUAUUUUAUCUACCAUCAUGUUCUAAACGACAAAUUCACAUGACUUUUUUUUUUUUUUCUUUCACAUGUACAUAAACAUAGAUAAAACCACAUGUAAUUCCUGCAAAGUAGCCUACAACAACAGUCCAAAUGAAAACACUGGUUAAGACCUGUUUCUACAGUCAUUAUUUAAUUCUCUAGUUAACAAAACUAACUGCUGGUGGCAAUUUUGCUUUACAUGUCACGAGAAUAUAAGUAAAUUUGGCAUUGAACAUUUAUACUUCACUACAACUGAGUGUUUUUCAAAUUAAUACAAUGUUCUGGAUGAUGCAUGUCAAUGGACGUGAACUAAGGUGAAAAACUGAAUAGUAGAUCAAGAAAACUCAAAGUCAUUCAAUAGCAUAAGACAAGGAAAACUCACUCUGGCAAUUCAUGGGGAAGCUGGUGAAGUUUCAGCUGUACAGGUUGGUUUUAUACUGUGCUUGUACAUGGAAUCAUUAAAGUGGUGGUAAUAUCAGUGGUAUCUUCUAAUAGAAUAAGAUCUUAAUUUUAUAUAUCUGCAUGUAUGCAUAGGACUUCAUACUUAAGGUUGUUAAUCAUGUCAAAACUAGUAGUUGGUUUAAUAGUUUUAAAAAAUGGGUACUGGAGACAGAAAUCAUGAGGAAUUAAACAGGGCUGUUAAAGUAUGUUCAUGAUCUCAUCAAACCUGUUUGUUCAGCAAAGGAUAUUAACAGGCUAAAAAUGGCUAAAAAACUAUUAACUGUCCAGCAAUCCAGUGCUGGAACUUAGGAAGUAUGCAAGGGUUCUGCUCAAAGGAGAGUGCAGUAUGUAGCUGAAAGAGUGGCUGGGAAAGGGAUCAUCCUUACCAUGUGAAGUGCUAGGUGCAACCCUGUUUACACUUUGAGAUCAGGCUGGCUAACACCACCCGUGCCAGAACACGCUCAGGUUCUAUAUAAAGGUAUUAUCAUCCUGUCUGCAGUAGAACCACCUGUGUGUAGGAUUUGGCUUUAUACAUAUCCCUUUGUCAGUGCAUUCGUUUCUACUGAUUACUAAGGCAUCUUCACAACUAAAACUCCAAGAGCUCAGAGUAAAAAAAUUAUCCAUGUCUUAACUAAUUGAUAAAAUAACAAGACUUUAAGUCAAACUAACAAAGGGCUGAAUUUCUCCACUUUCAGAAGAACCAAUAGGAUUUAAAAUGUUCAGAGUUUUGACUGCUUGUUUCAAUUCACUGGACUUCAUUCUCAAGAUGAUUUCCUAACUCCAUUUUAGGAACCAGUUUCAAUGAGAGCUCAUAAUACUUGCUUACACCACCAUGUAACUUCUUGAAACAGCCAACUUUGCAACACAAAUGAUUUUCUGUUUGAAGUAGUGACAAGAAUCAUUGGACUGUUCUGAACCUAUAUAGGGCUGAUACCACAGUUUCAUGUAAUGGCAUCAUAUGGGAGUUUAUACCUGUUGUUUUUCACAUUAACUGUAUGUUAAUGGCAGGCACCUACACAAGCACUACUGAGUGGCAGAGAAACUGUCAUUAACUGACUUGCUGUUAACAGUGCACAGAUUGCUAAAUGGAACAGUAAAGCACUCAUUACAAUCAGGCUAAAAUGACUUACUUUUCUUAUUCUCUUUGAAGUAAUGAACAUAUCUUGAUAAAACCAAAACCAAUAAAGAUCUUCAACCUCUCUUAGCCAAAAUGCCUAUUUAAAUGCAUACUCAAAAUAUUGCUGAUUGCUUGUAUCUACCGAAAUGUGAAAACAGAUUUAUUUGUAUUCAAAUAAUAGAAAAACUUUAGUUUCUAAAGAUCUGGUCAUUUUCAGUGAUAUGAAGAUGGAUUAAUUGAUAUCAACAACUUGAGCAAGACAAUGCUGCUGAUUACUAGGGAGAAUACAGUUUUAUUUAUCUACAAGAUUUCCUCUAGAAAACAAAGCUGCAAAAUGAAGCAAUCUUACUACUACCCAUGCUCACUGACUCCAGUUGUUCUUUUUAGGGACUUCUAGUUAAGAAAUUUUUCAAAUAACCACUUUCCUACUUGCCUAAUAAAAACAUAAUUCAUUUCAAUCAUACAAAAGUAUGUUUAUAAAGAACAGACCAAACACUGAUUACCAGAGUUCUCCCAUACACACUUAAUAAAUGUAAUUCAAAAAAACUUCUUUUAGAUUUAUAUACUUUCAGUGGUAGAUAAUUUUUUCUUGUGACUGCUAGCAGGAUUAAUCCAUAUGCUUCUCUGACACCACAGUUCAAGUCUAUCUCUGUGAGUCUGGGGGCUCACUGCCCUUUUCAGGAAUGCUCUGCAUCAAGAAAAAUGAGUAUAAACUGUAGUGAUAUGCUGAAAAUUAACAAGGGAAAUAUAAAUUGUAGUUGAAUGUGUUAAAGGUUUACUGAAUAGGAAUACUUCAACAUUUUCAUCUAGAAUUUUUGCACAGUGAACUUUUUCAAGUGUUUUACCAACAACAGUUCUAUUUCACAGUACUUUACUAGAUGAUGUCUAAACCCCAUUAUAGGCUAAUUUCUUGUUUAUCUAUGUUUCCUUUUUCAAAACUCAUACAUCAACAACAGUGCUACCACCAAUAAAUAGUAAUGGUUGUUUCUUGUCAUUGAGAGUCCUUAAAUGUUCAUAAAGAAAACCUGUAGCCACCCUGAAAUAUUUAAAUUUUAAAUUUUAAAGUAAUUUUUAAAAGCAGUAGCAAUGUCACAGAUAAAAUACUUGGCAUGAGGAGUGUUAAUCAUUGUGGCCAUGUGAGGCUACAAGAAAGAUAAUGUAAACAAUCCUAAAAUGUUUGAAUUGCUUUCAUUCAGUGUUGGGAUAUUUUUAAAACUGAUAUUUUCAAAUUGCAAUUCCAGGGUAAAAUCCUGGAAAUGGUUAUAUAUGGUUUUAAAUCUCAACUUUCAGAAUGAGUUUAGUGGGCUUUCUAUUUUAGCAAAUAACUAGCUAACAUACCAAGCUACCCUAAAUGUCAUUCACAUCAAAUGCAGAGGCAUCAGCAGCUUCCCAGUUAAGGCAAUGCUGGCAGAAAUCCAUUUCUAAUGAUCCACAGUAAUUUUCUUUCAGAGUUUCAGUUUUUCUAAAAAUCCUCAGUAAUUUUCUUUCAGAGCCAAAUAGAAUUUUUUUGGUAAAUUAUCACUAUUUUUAUAUCUCUUUGCUUGAAUUGCAGCAAAAAACUGCAAACAUUUUCAUGCCCUCCUUAAAGAAGGUCAUCUGUUUAAACAAACAGGGAUGUUGAAUAUGAGACCAGAGAAUUGCCUUGUGUUUAAAGCAAGUAAGAAGUGCUAGAGGUGUGGGAGUUCUUCAAAGCAGCAAGCACUACCUCCCGUAUUUUUUUGCUUGUGAGCACUAUUUCUCAUA